CCUACGGGUGGCAGCAGUGGGGAAUAUUCCACAAUGGGGGCAACCCUGAUGCAGCGACGCCGCGUGAGUGAAGAAGUAUUUCGGUACGUAAAGCUCUGUUAGCAGGGAAGAAAAUGACGGUACCUGACUAAGAAGCCCCGGCUAAUUACGUGCCAGCAGCCGCGGUAAUACGUAGGGGGCAAGCGUUAUCCGGAUUUACUGGGUGUAAAGGGAGCGUAGACGGUAGGGCAAGUCUGGAGGGAAAGGCGGGGGCUCAACCCCCGGACUGCUCUGGAAACUGCCAGGCUGGAGUGCAGGAGAGGUAAGUGGAAUUCCUAGUGUAGCGGUGAAAUGCGUAGAUAUUAGGAGGAACACCAGUGGCGAAGGCGGCUUACUGGACUGUAACUGACGUUGAGGCUCGAAAGCGUGGGGAGCAAACAGGAUUAGAUACCCGAGUAGUC
rnacentral:rRNA from 1 species